rnacentral:lncRNA from 1 species
ACUCCCUCCAGGGAAUUCACAUUCCAGUAUCCAUAGCCACAGGAGGACGAGGGCUCCGAGAGUGGACAGCACAGAUGCGGGAUAUUUUUAUCAUGGUACGAAAUCCUCUGGGGCAGCGUUGUAAGGCAGCAUGGUGAGGGCUAGAAUUGUGGGCACUAUGCGGUUUCCACUUGAUGCCCUUUUACCUUCGUGGCUGCUCCAAACCUCCGCUGGCUCAAGCUUUGUAACCUGCCACUUCCUCAUCACUUGGAACCCCGGGCUGUGACGUCAGCGCCGUAAAGGAAGUAGCAUGAGGUAUGGGGCUUUCUUCCGGUCUUUUAGAGCAUCAUCUUCACUGUGUCCUGUACCUGUGCUUCUCUGCGUUGUCUCCAGUGCUUGCCGUUUUCAUUGCUCUUUCUUAGCUUAAUGCGUUCCUGGUCUCUCCUUGAGACUUCUGCUCUGCACUUAAGAGCCAGCAAAAGACCAUUCUUCCAAGGAGAUCUUCCUGAUCAUGCAGAGAGCAUUCUGAACAUCACCCAAUCAAGGCAGGAGGUCGCCUAAAGUAGACUUGGGAAAUAAGAAAACACAAGCACGUUUGGAAUUCCUCUCCCACCCAGAGCUCCAACUUGGAUCAUUAACUGCCUGGAAACGGUGAAUGCCAUACAAAGGAUGCGAUGGCACAGUGAACGGCGCUUAUGCCAGAAGAAAACCAUGUAUGGGUGCAUUAUUAAAGUGCCAAGGAGAGUCAGGAGUCCACCAAGA